rnacentral:lncRNA from 1 species
GAAAUGUAUUUGCUUAAAUGCAACACAUGGAUAUUAGGCAAGGGCAAGAAUUUGCUUUCUCUUGCACACAAAACAAGGAAAUGUAUUCUGCCUCACCACAGCUGCCACAACCACAGCUGCACUGCCGAAUCAGAUGCACUUGCUGGCCUCUGCCCCUUCCCUCAUUGCUGUUCCUCCUCUAGAGCCUCUAGACACCAGUCCCAGAGUGGGGACUGCAAAGUCUUGAGGUGGACAGACUUGGUAAGUGAGCUGCAGCCACGUGCAGAACACUAGAGAUGAGAGCUGGCGUGAUCUCAGACUCCUCAUUUGAUUUGUCUCUUUCAAUUUUGGAUGCAAGAGAAGUGCUCAAAGACUUCCAAAUGCAGCAGCAAGGUAGCAGAUUAGAUUUUUCACAUGCUGAGAUGAAGACUAUUCAUUUCCUAUUCCCUAGCAACUGCCUAUAUAAACAACUACCAGGUCACACUGGAGGAGCCCAAUGCAAACCAAUGUUCUCUCUUCUCUCUCCCAUGGGAGAUGAAGUUUUAAGCCUUUUUUUACAAAAGCUGCUGCAAUGUCUGAGGUUCAAAACCUUAAGCUGA